AGCGAACGCUGGCGGCAGGCCUAACACAUGCAAGUCGAACGAACCUUUCGGGGUUAGUGGCGGACGGGUGAGUAACACGUGGGAACGUGCCUUUAGGUUCGGAAUAACUCAGGGAAACUUGUGCUAAUACCGAAUGUGCUCUUCGGGGGAAAGAUCUAUCGCCUUUAGAGCGGCCCGCGUCUGAUUAGCUAGUUGGUUGAGGUAAUGGCUCACCAAGGCGACGAUCAGUAGCUGGUCUGAGAGGAUGAUCAGCCACAUUGGGACUGAGACACGGCCCAAACUCCUACGGGAGGCAGCAGUGGGGAAUCUUGCGCAAUGGGCGAAAGCCUGACGCAGCCAUGCCGCGUGAAUGAUGAAGGUCUUAGGAUUGUAAAAUUCUUUCACCGGGGACGAUAAUGACGGUACCCGGAGAAGAAGCCCCGGCUAACUUCGUG
rnacentral:rRNA from 1 species